UACGAAGGGGGCUAGCGUUGUUCGGAAUUACUGGGCGUAAAGCGCGCGCAGGCGGCUAUCCAAGUCAGUGGUGAAAGCCCGGAGCUCAACUCCGGAACUGCCAUUGAAACUGUUUAGCUUGAGGACGAGAGAGGUGAGUGGAAUUCCCAGUGUAGAGGUGAAAUUCGUAGAUAUUGGGAAGAACACCGGUGGCGAAGGCGGCUCACUGGCUCAUUUCUGACGCUCAGGCGCGACAGCGUGGGGAGCAAGAGG
rnacentral:rRNA from 1 species